AAAAGUUUUUCUUUUUUUUGCUUGUAAAUUAGGGUCUGAAGUUGUACAAAGCAGGGGUUAGAUUCAAGCAACACUGAUCUCUAGUCAGUAAAAAACCCAUGCCUCAAAACUUCAACACUCAAACCAUCACUUAUUCAGAACUGAAAGAAAAAACAAGCAGAAUCCCCGACUCUCAAGGCUGUGCAGUGAAGUCAGAGUUGAUAACUUGAACUAUAAAAUGACCAGAACCAGAGCUUCCUGAAUGCUCUUUCGUAAAUGAAAAGGAAAAGGAAGUAAAGUGAAAGGAGACAGAGAAACAGAAUUUGGCGCCUGACGUCCACCAUGUGUUGGAUCAUAUAAAACAAGAGUGCAGUUCAGUCAGAUGGAUAUGCCAUAAUUGCUUAUCUUUGUAACUUCCUUGGUGAGAACAUUCCUUUCCUUUUUUGCCUCUGAAGCAAGGUUGGAAACUUGUGACCGGAAGAGUGAAACUUCUCUUCGGGGAAACUCUUUAAGAACAUCUUGAAGACCUGUAGCUUGCCUUUCUAUCUUAUGUGCUGACUGUAUGACACUACGGAUUUGUUUGCCUGCCUGCCUGAGUUUUGUCCUUCCCCGUAUCAUCUCUCCUUCAGCUUGUAUUGCCUGAUUCUCCAAUUUCGCACUUUCAGCCUUCAGAAGGUCAAUUGACUUCUGUAAUUCUUUGACUUUUGCAUCUGCCCUAGAAAGCAAG
rnacentral:misc_RNA from 1 species